CGCACAUUGCGCCCAUUAGUAUUCUAGUGGGCAUGCCUGUUCGAGCGUCAUUUCAACCCUUAAGCCUAGCUUAGUGUUGGGAGCCUACUGCUUUUGCUAGCUGUAGCUCCUGAAAUACAACGGCGGAUCUGCGAUAUCCUCUGAGCGUAGUAAAUUUUUAUCUCGCUUUUGACUGGAGUUGCAGCGUCUUUGGCCGCUAAAUCCCCCAAUUUUUAAUGGUUGACCUCGGAUCAGGUAGGAAUACCCGCUGAACUUAA
rnacentral:misc_RNA from 1 species